UACAGAGGUCUCAAGCGUUGUUCGGAUUCAUUGGGCGUAAAGGGUGCGUAGGUGGCGCCAUAAGUCGGGUGUGAAAUCUCGGGGCUUAACUCCGAAACUGCAUUCGAUACUGUGGUGCUUGAGGACUGGAGAGGAGACUGGAAUUCAUGGUGUAGCAGUGAAAUGCGUAGAGAUCAUGAGGAAGACCAGUGGCGAAGGCGGGUCUCUGGACAGUUCCUGACACUGAGGCACGAAGGCCAGGGGAGCGAACGGG
rnacentral:rRNA from 1 species